UACAGAGGGGGCAAGCGUUAUUCGGAAUUAUUGGGCGUAAAGGGCGCGUAGGCGGCUUGGCAGUGGAUGGUGAAAUCCCUCGGCUUAACCGAGGAACUGCCGUCCAAACUGCUUCGCUUGAGACCGGGAGAGGUGAGUGGAAUUCCCAGUGUAGCGGUGAAAUGCGUAGAUAUUGGGAGGAACACCAGUGGCGAAGGCGGCUCACUGGACCGGUACUGACGCUGAUGCGCGAAAGCGUGGGGAGCAAACGGG
rnacentral:rRNA from 1 species